AGCUCGUAGGUGGUUGGUCACGUCUGCUGUGGAAACGCAACGCUUAACGUUGCGCGUGCAGUGGGUACGGGCUGACUAGAGUGCAGUAGGGGAGUCUGGAAUUCCUGGUGUAGCGGUGAAAUGCGCAGAUAUCAGGAGGAACACCGGUGGCGAAGGCGGGACUCUGGGCUGUAACUGACGCUGAGGAGCGAAAGCAUGGGGAGCGAACAGGAUUAGAUAC
rnacentral:rRNA from 1 species